UGUGUGUUGGGGGGACAGCGGCUGAGACUUUCUCUUCCCCUUUCUCGGUUUCUUCCAGACUCUAAUCCCCCAGUGGAAAGAGGACCCAGCCAUGGCAGGGUUAAGUGCUGCAGGGAUUUCCGGACAGGACUGCAGGGACCCUCGAAUCCCCGCCCCCUCAGCCAUCCAAGCAAUGGGAGCCUCAGAGGCAAGCCAAAUAAUAUCCAAGGAAACCCGGGCUCAGGUUUCAGCAUCUGGAGGAAACGUGAGGUCUGGAAAAGGUGGUGGGACCCUGGCAGAACGUGGGCUGGACCUGGUCCUACCGUACUUAUCUGGGAAGUGCCUCGCUGCUCUGGGGACCUGGCUUCUUAACUGCCAAACAGGGAGAGAUGGAUGAAUCACUUCGCCACUUGACGUGUGGUCCGCAGGUCAGCAAGGCUGACAUCACCUGCGUUAUUAUUUUUCUUACUUCCUCUUUCCAGAUUUUGUUUGGUGACUUGAUAAAGUGGACGCAGGCUUAGCCAGAGGUGGAUAUGUUGGAAGCCCAAGUCAAAGGCUGUUCCUGUUCAGGAGGGAGCAGAUGCCAGACCUGAUUUUUAUUUCUAGACCAAACUCUUUGUGACAAAGCCUCAUGAGCUUGGAAGAGCAAUUUUCCUUCUUCAAACUCUGAGUGCCUAUCACCUCCAUGUCCCUCUCCCUCUCCCUCCCUCCUCCCCCACUUCCCACCACCAGUCUUUUCUUUUCCAUAAUAAAACAGCAAUGUAAUCAGACCGUGGAAUGUAUUUCAGCAUGACAAAUAAACUAAAGCAGCUUGGUUUAUUAGCUGUUUCCAUGGGAGAGAUCUUUUCGGACCAAACAGAUAUUUACAAACAUUACAAGCUCUGAAUUGCUCCAGCAGUGACACGGCUGCCUAGAGAUACAUAGCUGUGCUUUUCUCCACACCCCCUUCAUCUGUGCUGCUCUCAGCCCGG
rnacentral:lncRNA from 1 species